GCUACAAACGAGAGGCCCACAACACAAACCGGGAACUGCCUCCAAGCCCGGCUUCCCGGCUCUUUGGCUCCCUGAGCUUUAACCAACUUGCCUAGAAGACAGAGCUUGGCGCAAAGACCUCCUACCCAGAUCUGUGGCUGUCAGGACAGAACCCCGAGGGCACAAAACACCCAAAGAACUGCCAGCAGCGAGCCACGUGCACCUGUGACCCUGCAGGGGCCCCCACAGGUAAACAUACAGAUUAUGGUUCCAUAAGGACGUCUAUAGCUCCAAGCAACUUAUGUGAUUUAUUUGGAUACCAGUACCUUCAACUUCAUAAAGUGGAAAUCACAUUUAUCUUCAAGAGUCCUCGGUUUUCAUACCAGCUCAGUGUGAAGCACCCACUUCAGUGUCUGGUCCACAAUGAGAUAACAAACAUAACUCCUAUCUGUUCCAUUCUGCUCUUUGUGUUGUCUAUUAACUGUGGAUGACCUGAUUUGCUUUAAAAAUCCCUCACUGACUUACAGAAACUCACUGAGGAAGUCCCUUUAAAGCAGCCAGAUGGAGCUCCCGAUAUGAAGAGUCCCAGGCAGAGCCAAGUGACCCACACAUGAGGUUCCCAAGCAAACACCAAUAACAGAAGGGAUGAAGUACUGAUGAUAUUCUCUGGACCUUGGAAUGGGCAAUUGUUGUUUUGGACAUGACCUCAAUAAAAAAGACAAAACAAGAAAAACAGACAAAGGGGGACCACCAAACCGAAAAGCUACUGCACAGCUGAUGACCUCACUCAUGUGAAAUCUAAGAAGGUAGGUCUCAGUAUUUAAGAGUAAAACAGAAGGUGGGGAGAGGAGGAUGAGGGAGGGCUGGGAGCAGGUUGGUAAAUGGGUCCUGAAAUAUGAGGAUAGAAAUAUGUGAUGGUGUGCUGUUUCACAUCAUCAUGGCUAAAAUGCUAAGGUACUACAUAACCCCGCCAGCACCAAAACAAAACUUAGGAGAUAGGAUAGUGGGUGUUUUUAUCCCCAAGAAAGGAUAAAUGCUUCAGAAGACUGCUAUACACAACCCAAUUUGACCAUUAAUAAUGACGUACAAAUAGAGAAAUAUUGCAUGAUACCCCACAGAUAAAUAAACUAAACAAGUUAAAAUUCUAAAAGCAU